AUAGAACAUGCAGGAGCAAUCAUAUUUGCUUUCAAGAACAAGUUGGAUAUAACUUUAGAUGUUGCUUUGGGGUCUACAGCUCAAAUUGCAAUGUUUGUGGUGUAGAAGCAAUGCUUACUGAUUUUGGGCACUUCUCUGUAUGUGCCAUACAGGUUCUUAACCAACAACUCAUUAAGUGGGGAAGUACCUCAGUGGGUAUUUGACAGCAAGAAGAACUUUUGAGUCUACUUUAAGCUGAUUGAAGAGGUAUUGCAUGCUUUCUUUGGAUCAUAAUGACCUUUUUGGGUGUGAGUUGGGAAGAACAUAUAUUCAUACAUUCGUAUGAUGUCCAUGGAGUAGUUGGUUGCUAUCAUGUUAAAAAAGCAUACUUGGAAAACAGGGAAUAUUAUGGCAAUUGAUAUGCAAUAAGUUUAAAGGAGUCAGCCAAGAAAAUAAAUGUAGGCUUAUUGAAUAUUGAUACUUAUUUCUACUCUUUUUAAUAUUGAAAAGAUCUUCUCUUUUUAA